GAGAGAUGGUGAAAGGAAAGAGCCACUGAUCGGGGUAUUGUGCUGUGAUCCAAUACUCACAAUGUGUUGGUCAUCAAGGAGUAGUACAGUCAUCUAGAUUUAAGAGAAAUACUUGUCAUUGAUUGUACAGAUAUAAACGUGUACAAAACUUGUGGCACCACCCAUACUAUUUAUAACUCUUAUGAAAAUAGUAUCCAAAACAAAACACCGUGUAGAUGACUGACAUUGACCUUCUUAAGUUGUGUGUACUUAAAAUAAUAUAUGUAUGAAGGCUUCAUUUACAUUGUACUGUGCCUUUGAGUAUGUGAAUUGACAUAAACAGUGUAUGAUCCUAAAGGUGUGUCUAUAUGAGGUUGUUGAUUUGUCUUUACAUUUAUUCUUGGUGCAUUAAAUCAUGAAUUUAUUUUCUAGCUUUGUAAGUAUGUAUAUAAUACAAUCAUGCAUAUAGUAGCUUAUUGUAUAGUAUUUUUUUUAAUUUUCUUACAAUAGCCAUAUAUUUUGCAGUUGCCAUUAGUAAUGAAAAAAUAGAUAGUUUACAUGUAUUUUAUGAAUUGAUAUAGUUGAUUUUGUUUUAAAUGAUAUAUUUUUGGUUACUGUACAUGUUUUUAUAAUACAAUACAAUUUUCAUGCUAAGGGCACCUGUUUUCUAAACAGAAUAUGUACCUCCUUUAUUUGACUUUGUCUAUUUUGUUAUUUUUUUUUAGCAAAAUGUGAAAAAAAAUUAGGAACAUUCUUCCGAUUCUCUUAUUGUGAAUCUCGAGCAUACUGAGCUGCAAUGUAUGAAUUUGUAAGUAAUCUAAAUGAAACAGAGCUUGCCAAGUAAGCUUACACCAAACAACAAACACACAACAGUGUUGUCGGACUCAUUAACCAUCUUUUUCCUUCUCAUGUCUUGCAUGUAUACAUCAGCAUCCAUAAAAUGAUUUAAAUGAUGCACGGAUGUGAUAAAUGUGCAAUAUUUUACAUGAUGUACACAUUACUGGUGCAAGCAGGCUGUUUAUAUGUAUUCAGAGUAUGGCUUUCACAUGAGUUGCAAGUUUUGUUGAUAAAGAGAAAUAUUUAUGCUGUGCAGUAAUAAUGUUUAUAAAUUUUCUCAGUCCAGUUCAACCAAGAGCUGUUAUGAACAUAAUAUUUAAAGAAUGACACAUAUAGUCCUGUAUAUUUUUUUUCAGAACAGUAAAAUAAAUGCUUUAAUAAACAUAU
rnacentral:misc_RNA from 1 species